AUCAGUCUUGGACACAUCCAUCUCUCAACCCUACCAAAAUGUUCACGAUUUCAAUUCAGAAGAUGCUCAUCACAUCGAAAGAUUGUUGAAUAAAACAGGAUGUUGCAGUUCUUCACAGUUAAGGAUUUAUCAAGACAAAAUGAUAUGCCCUGGAUUUCAAUGUAAAAGAAAACGAAUACCCUCAUGACACCACUUGCAGCAACAUUUCAGAGAAAUGAUUAAAGUGUCCUAAACAAAUCAAAGACAUGUUUAUCUAUAACACGAUCAAGUCAUCAUAGCAUCAGCACUGAUCUUUACUGUCCAUGAAGUCACAGGGGACAG